GGAUGUGAAGGCUAUCUGGCUGCGACAUCUGUCACCUCAUUGAUCGCCAGGGUUGAUUCGGCUGAUCUGGCUGGUUAGGCGGGUGUCCCCUUCCUCCCUCACCACUCCAUGUGCGUCCCUCCGGAAGCUGCGCACUAGGUUGAAAUGGACGCCCUUCCCUGAAUAAAGACAGACCGGUCUUUUGGUUGAGGGUAUAAGAGUAGAGUAGCUGUACUCCCCCUGCUGGAAUCUCCAAAACAAUGCUCUCCAAGGUGAAGAAAAUGAUAUCAU
rnacentral:snRNA from 1 species